rnacentral:rRNA from 1 species
UGGGGAAUAUUGCACAAUGGGCGAAAGCCUGAUGCAGCGACGCCGCGUGAGGGAUGACGGCCUUCGGGUUGUAAACCUCUUUCAGUAGGGACGAAGCGCAAGUGACGGUACCUGCAGAAGAAGCACCGGCUAACUACGUGCCAGCAGCCGCGGUAAUACGUAGGGUGCGAGCGUUGUCCGGAAUUACUGGGCGUAAAGAGCUCGUAGGCGGUUUGUCACGUCGUCUGUGAAAUCCUAGGGCUUAACCCUGGACGUGCAGGCGAUACGGGCUGACUUGAGUACUACAGGGGAGACUGGAAUUUCUGGUGUAGCGGUGGAAUGCACAGAUAUCAGGAAGAACACCGAUGGCGAAGGCAGGUCUCUGGGUAGUAACUGACGUUGAGGAGCGAAAGCAUGGGUAGCGAACAGG